rnacentral:rRNA from 1 species
CCUACGGGAGGCAGCAGUGGGGAAUUUUGGACAAUGGGCGCAAGCCUGAUCCAGCUAAUCCGCGUGUGGGAAGACGGCCUUCGGGUUGUAAACCACUUUUGUAGAGAACGAAAAGUCUAUUGAUAAUACCGAUAGAUGAUGACGGUACUCUAAGAAUAAGCACCGGCUAACUACGUGCCAGCAGCCGCGGUGAUACGUAGGGUGCGAGCGUUAAUCGGAAUUACUGGGCGUAAAGGGUGUGCAGGCGGUUUUGCAAGAUGGAUGUGAAAGCCCCGGGCUUAACCUGGGAAAGGCAUACUUGACUGGAAGACUAGAGUGCGUCAGAGGGAGGUGGAAUUCCAAGUGUAGCAGUGAAAUGCGUAGAUAUUUGGAAGAACACCGAUGGCGAAGGCAGCCCCCUGGGACGCAACUGACGCUGAUACACGAAAGCGUGGGGAGCAAACAGGAUUAGAUACCCUUGUAGUC